rnacentral:tRNA from 1 species
GUCUUUUUAGUAUAACUAGUAUAAGUGACUUCCAAUCACCCGGCCUUGGUUNAACUCCAAGAAAAGAUA